UACAGAGGUCCCAAGCGUUGUUCGGAUUCACUGGGCGUAAAGGGUGCGUAGGUGGUUGGGUAAGUCUGAUGUGAAAUCUCCGGGCUCAACCCGGAAAUGGCAUUGGAUACUAUUCGGCUAGAGGUUUGGAGGGGGGACUGGAAUUCUCGGUGUAGCAGUGAAAUGCGUAGAUAUCGAGAGGAACACCAGUGGCGAAGGCGAGUCCCUGGACAACACCUGACACUGAGGCGCGAAAGCUAGGGGAGCAAACAGG
rnacentral:rRNA from 1 species